UGAUGGUAGGGUAAUGAGCAAAG
rnacentral:piRNA from 1 species